GGGCCUUUAGCUCAGUUGGUUAGAGCAGACGGCUCAUAACCGUCCGGUCCCGGGUUCGAGCCCCUGAAGGCCCACCA
rnacentral:tRNA from 1 species